rnacentral:misc_RNA from 1 species
GAUGAAGAACGUAGCGAAAUGCGAUAAGUAAUGUGAAUUGUAGAAUUCAGUGAAUCAUCGAAUCUUUGAACGCACAUUGCGCCCCUUGGUAUCCCGAGGGGCAUGCCUGUUCGAGCGUCAUUUCACCACUCAAGCCUGGCUUGGUGUUGGGCGACGUCCCCUUUGGGGACGCGCCUCGAAACGCUCGGCGGCGUGGCACCGGCUUUAAGCGUAGCAGAAUCUUUCGCUUUGGAAGUCGGGGCCCCGUCUGCCGGAAGACCUACUCGCAAGGUUGACCUCGGAUCAGGCAGGGAUACCCGCUGAACUUAAGCAUAUCAAUAAGCGGAGGA